rnacentral:rRNA from 1 species
GAUGAACGCUGGCGGCGUGCCUAACACAUGCAAGUCGAGCGGGGUGAUGGUGCUUGCACUAUCACUUAGCGGCGGACGGGUGAGUAAUGCUUAGGAAUCUGCCUAUUAGUGGGGGACAACAUCUCGAAAGGGAUGCUAAUACCGCAUACGUCCUACGGGAGAAAGCAGGGGAUCACUUGUGACCUUGCGCUAAUAGAUGAGCCUAAGUCGGAUUAGCUAGUUGGUGGGGUAAAGGCCUACCAAGGCGACGAUCUGUAGCGGGUCUGAGAGGAUGAUCCGCCACACUGGGACUGAGACACGGCCCAGACUCCUACGGGAGGCAGCAGUGGGGAAUAUUGGACAAUGGGGGGAACCCUGAUCCAGCCAUGCCGCGUGUGUGAAGAAGGCCUUAUGGUUGUAAAGCACUUUAAGCGAGGAGGAGGCUCUUUUGGUUAAUACCCAAGAUGAGUGGACGUUACUCGCAGAAUAAGCACCGGCUAACUCUGUGCCAGCAGCCGCCGUAA